GACGAACGCUGGCGGCGUGCCUAAUACAUGCAAGUCGAGCGCAGGAAGCCGUCUGAACCCUUCGGGGGGACGACGGUGGAAUGAGCGGCGGACGGGUGAGUAACACGUAAAGAACCUGCCCAUAGGUCUGGGAUAACCACGAGAAAUCGGGGCUAAUACCGGAUGUGUCAUCGGACCGCAUGGUCCGCUGAUGAAAGGCGCUCCGGCGUCGCCCAUGGAUGGCUUUGCGGUGCAUUAGCUAGUUGGUGGGGUAACGGCCCACCAAGGCGACGAUGCAUAGCCGACCUGAGAGGGUGAUCGGCCACACUGGGACUGAGACACGGCCCAGACUCCUACGGGAGGCAGCAGUAGGGAAUCUUCCACAAUGGACGAAAGUCUGAUGGAGCAACGCCGCGUGAACGAUGAAGGCUUUCGGGUCGUAAAGUUCUGUUGUAAGGGAAGGACAAGUGCCACAGGCAAUGGCGGCACCUUGACGGUACCUUGCGAGAAAGCCACGGCUAACUACGUGCCAGCCGCCGCGGUAA
rnacentral:rRNA from 1 species